rnacentral:rRNA from 1 species
UGGGGGAUAUUGCGCAAUGGGGGAAACCCUGACGCAGCAACGCCGCGUGAAGGAAGAAGGUCUUCGGAUUGUAAACUUUUGUCUUUGGGGACGAAACAAAUGACUGUACCCAAGGAGGAAGCCACGGCUAACUACGUGCCAGCAGCCGCGGUAAUACGUAGGUGGCAAGCGUUGUCCGGAUUUACUGGGUGUAAAGGGCGUGUAGACGGGACUUAAAGUCAGAUGUGAAAUACCGCAGCUUAACUGCGGGGCUGCAUUUGAAACUUAAGUUCUUGAGUGCAGGAGAGGAAAGCGGAAUUCCUAGUGUAGCGGUGAAAUGCGUAGAUAUUAGGAGGAACACCGGUGGCGAAGGCGGCUUUCUGGACUGUAACUGACGUUGAGGCGCGAAAGCGUGGGUAGCAAACAGG